AAGGUAGCGAAAUUCCUUGUCGGGUAAGUUCCGACCCGCACGAAAGGCGUAACGAUUUGGGCACUGUCUCAACGAGAGACUCGGUGAAAUCAUAGUACCUGUGAAGAUGCAGGUUACCCGCGACAGGACGGAAAGACCCCGUGGAGCUUUACUGUAGCCUGAUAUUGAAAUUCGGCACAGCUUGUACAGGAUAGGUAGGAGCCUUUGAAACGUGAGCGCUAGCUUACGUGGAGGCGCUGGUGGGAUACUACCCUAGCUGUGUUGGCUUUCUAACCCGCACCACUUAUCGUGGUGGGAGACAGUGUCAGGCGGGCAGUUUGACUGGGGCGGUCGCCUCCUAAAAGGUAACGGAGGCGCUCAAAGGUUCCCUCAGAAUGGUUGGAAAUCAUUCAUAGAGUGUAAAGGCAUAAGGGAGCUUGACUGCGAGACCUACAAGUCGAGCAGGGUCGAAAGACGGACUUAGUGAUCCGGUGGUUCCGCAUGGAAGGGCCAUCGCUCAACGGAUAAAAGCUACCCCGGGGAUAACAGGCUUAUCUCCCCCAAGAGUUCACAUCGACGGGGAGGUUUGGCACCUCGAUGUCGGCUCAUCGCAUCCUGGGGCUGUAGUCGGUCCCAAGGGUUGGGCUGUUCGCCCAUUAAAGCGGUACGCGAGCUGGGUUCAGAACGUCGUGAGACAGUUCGGUCCCUAUCCGUCGUGGGCGUAGGAAAUUUGAGAGGAGCUGUCCUUAGUACGAGAGGACCGGGAUGGACAUACCUCUGGUGUACCAGUUGUCGUGCCAACGGCAUAGCUGGGUAGCUAUGUGUGGACGGGAUAAGUGCUGAAAGCAUCUAAGCAUGAAGCCCCCCUCAAGAUGAGAUUUCCCAACUUCGGUUAUAAGAUCCCUCAAAGAUGAUGAGGUUAAUAGG
rnacentral:rRNA from 1 species